UACGUAGGAUCCAAGCGUUGUCCGGAUUUACUGGGUGUAAAGGGUGCGCAGGCGGACUGGUUAGUCAGGAGUGAAAUCUCGGCGCUCAACGCCGAAACGUCUUUUGAUACUGCCAGUCUUGAAUAAGCGAGAGAUUCGUGGAAUUCCGAGUGUAGCAGUGAAAUGUGUAGAUAUCGUGAGGAACACCAGAGGCGAAGGCGGCUACCUGGACAAUUGCUGACGCUCAGGCACGAAAGCGUGGGGAGCAAAAGGG
rnacentral:rRNA from 1 species